GACGAACGCUGGCGGCGUGCUUAACACAUGCAAGUCGAACGAUGAAGCUGGAGCUUGCUCCGGUGGAUUAGUGGCGAACGGGUGAGUAACACGUGAGCAAUCUGCCCUUGACUCUGGGAUAACUGCGGGAAACUGUAGCUAAUACCGGAUACGAGGCUCGAAGGCAUCUUCGGGUCUGGAAAGAAUUUCGGUCAAGGAUGAGCUCGCGGCCUAUCAGCUUGUUGGUGAGGUAAUAGCUCACCAAGGCUUCGACGGGUAGCUGGUCUGAGAGGAUGAUCAGCCAGACCGGGACUGAGACACGGCCCGGACUCCUACGGGAGGCAGCAGUUGGGAAUCUUGCGCAAUGGGCGAAAGCCUGACGCAGCGACGCCGCGUGCGGGAAGAAGGUCUUCGGACUGUAAACCGCUUUUUUAAGGGAAUAAUUUUUGAAGGUACCUUAAGAAUAAGCACCGGCUAAACUCGUGCCAGCCGCCGCCGUAA
rnacentral:rRNA from 1 species